GUAGGGAAUAUUGGGCAAUGGAUGGAAGUCUGACCCAGCCAUGCCGCGUGCAGGAAGAAGGCGCUACGCGUUGUAAACUGCUUUUAACCGGGAAGAAACCCCAGGACGUGUCCUGGGUUGACGGUACCGGAGGAAUAAGCACCGGCUAACUUCGUGCCAGCAGCCGCGGUAAUACGAAGGGUGCAAGCGUUAUCCGGAUUCAUUGGGUUUAAAGGGUGCGUAGGCGGAGCGUUAAGUCAGUGGUGAAAUCCUGCAGCUUAACUGUAGACUUGCCAUUGAUACUGGCGCUCUUGAGUGCGCUUGAAGUGGGCGGAAUGUGCCGUGUAGCGGUGAAAUGCUUAGAUAUGGCACAGAACACCAAUUGCGAAGGCAGCUCACUAAGGCGAUACUGACGCUGAGGCACGAAAGCGUGGGGAUCGAACAGGAUUAGAAACCCCAGUAGUCC
rnacentral:rRNA from 1 species